rnacentral:lncRNA from 1 species
GAGAAGGAUUCCGGUAAUAGAGGUACAUCUAGAUCAAAGUCAAAGCACAGGAAUCUGACUUGUGGUUAUUGUAAGAAGAAGGGUCACAUAAAAGUUGAUUGUUUCAAGUUGAAAAAUAAAGAGCAGCGGAAGAAUAAUGGCGAUAAAAAUCAUGGUCAGAAAAAGACCAAUACUGAAGCAGAAGCAAGUGUUGCAGCAGGAGAAUCAAC